rnacentral:rRNA from 1 species
UAGAAGAUGGCGACCGGCGCACGGUGAGUAACACGUAUCCAACCUGCCGAUAACUCGGGGAUAGCCUUUCGAAAGAAAGAUUAAUACCCGAUGGCAUAAUAGAACCGCAUGGUUUGAUUAUUAAAGAAUUUCGGUUAUCGAUGGGGAUGCGUUCCAUUAGGCAGUUGGUGGGGUAACGGCCCACCAAACCUUCGAUGGAUAGGGGUUCUGAGAGGAAGGUCCCCCACAUUGGAACUGAGACACGGUCCAA